rnacentral:tRNA from 1 species
UCCGAGCGGCCCAUCUAGGUGAUGGGGACUGGCUGUUAAUCAGAACGUGCCGUGUUCGAACCACGGGCUCGGAGCCA